rnacentral:rRNA from 1 species
AGCUCCAGUAGCGUAUAUUAAAGUUGUUGCAGUUAAAAAGCUCGUAGUUGGACUUCUGGUUUGGUGCGCUCGGCCCGCUCCCUUUAGGGAUGUGAGUGUUGACGCGCGCCUUCCAUCUUUGUACAGGACCUCUCUGCCCUUCAUUGGGACUGGAUUGGCGAUGUGCAUCUUUUACUUUGAAAAAAUUAGAGUGUUUAAAGCAGGCUUGUGCUAUGAAUACAUUAGCAUGGAAUAAUAACUUAGGACUUUGGUUCUAUUUUGUUGGUUUCUAGGACCGAAGUAAUGAUUGAUAGGGAUAGUUGGGGGUGCUAGUAUUCAGCGGCCAGAGGUGAAAUUCUUGGAUUCGCUGAAGACUAACUCAUGCGAAAGCAUUCACCAAGGAUGUCUUCUUUA